rnacentral:rRNA from 1 species
GUCCUUUUGUGGAUUAUCUAAGGUUUGGCCUGCUCCAUGAUAAGUUAAAUAGCCGCAGUAUUUUGACUGUGCAAAGGUAGCAUAAUCAUUAGUUUUUUAAUUGAAAGCUGGAAUGAAGGGUCGGAUGAGAAAGAUUCUGUCUCACUUUAAUUUUAUUUGAAUUUUAUUUUUAAGUCAAAAAGCUUAGAUUUUAUAAAAAGACGAGAAGACCCUGUAGAGUUUAAUAAACUUAAAUUUUGAUUUUUAAUGGAUUUUACAGUAAUUAUAAUUUAGUUUAUUUUGUUGGGGUGACAUAAGAAUUUGACUAACUUCUUAAUAUUUUAACACUGAUUAGUGAUAGUAUGAUCCCAAGAUUUGGAUUUAAAGAAUAAAUUACCUCAGGGAUAACAGCGUAAUUCUUUUGGAGAGCUCUAAUCAAUAAAAGGGAUUGCGACCUCGAUGUUGGAUUAAAGUUAAAUUUCGGUGCAGAGGCUGGGAUUUUGAGUCUGUUCGACUCUUAAAACUUUACAUGAUCUGAGUUUAAACCGGCGUGAGCCAGGUUGGUUUCUAUCUUUUAUAGUUAAAAUAUUUUAGUACGAAAGGACCAGGUAUUUGAAUAAUAUUUUUUUAUUGAAUUAAAUUGUUAUUUUGGCAGAAUAGUGCAAUAGAUUUAGAAUCUUUAUAUGUAAUUAUAUUACAAAUAACAAUUUAUUUUUUUGACUUGACUUUAUUGUUUAUUUCUAUAUUAGUUUUGAUUGUUUGUGUUUUAGUUGGGGUGGCUUUUUUGACUUUACUUGAACGUAAGGUUUU